GUGGGUUUGUGUCAUGAGGAUGAAUUGAUUUCAUUUGUGUCGUGUGUAAAUAUGAGCUGGAGGGUAAUUUAUACCAGCAGGGCCAGAUACUGUAUUUAGGGGACAGACAGACAGACAGACAGGCUGAGGGAGUGCACAGGGGACAGACAGACAGACAGACAGACAGACAGGUUGAGGGACUGCACAGGAGACAGACAGACAGGUUGAGGGACUGCACAGGGGACAGACAGACAAACAGAAAGACAGACAGACAGACAGACAGGUUGAGGGACUGCACAGGGGACAGACAGACAGACAGACAGACAGACAGGCUGAGGGACUGCACAGGGGACAGGGGACAGACAGACAGACAGACAGACAGACAGACAGACAGGUUGAGGGACUGCACAGGAGACAGACAGACAGACAGACAGACAGGCGGAGGGACUGCACAGGGGACAGACAGAGGGAGAAUGCCAAAAGGGGAAAAGGUGACAUGGGCGUUGAGGAGGGCAGGUCUGCUCUGCCACAGGAAGCAGAGAAGGCAGGAAGUGACACAGGAGGGGAGAUGGGGG
ensembl:lncRNA